AGGCCAUGUGUGACUAUACUGGUCUCAUACUCAAAGCCUUAGGCUGGAAGAUCAGGGAAGGCACCCUGAGAAUGUGAAGUUUGGGCCUGGGGAAGACAGAGAUGGGCAAAGCUUUGAAAGCUCAGGAGUGAGAAGUACCAGGUGAGUUCUCAGAGGAUUUAAUAUGACUGGAUCACGAAGGAUGAGGCAGGGUGAGGUGGAAGAAGAUGUCAAAGUUCCUUAAGGUGGCAGGUGGGGGUAAAGAAAUUUAGGGCCUUGUAAAAGAGGGAGAAAGCUUGGCAAAUAAGCGAAGCAUAAGACAUGACUAUCGGAGAAACAGUUCAUUAAGAUAUCAAGGAUGAACCUACAGGUAGGUAAAUCUAUAUACAAAACUGCUCUUAAAAUUUAAUCAUUCCUUUUUCCAACAGAUAUUCUGAGGAUCUCAGACAGAGAUCACUCCGCUUGAAUUCGAAUAUUUGCUCGGAUUCCCACUAGCUCUGUGAUCUUGGACAAAUUAUUUAACCUGUCCAUCUAUAAAAUGGGGAUAAAACCAGAAACUCCCCUAUAGGCUUGUUGUGAAAAGGAAGAGAGGAAAGCAUGUGAAGGUUCAUCAAAGUGCUUGCACAUAAAUGUGAGUGCAUUAAGUGUUACUAUUAAUGUGAUUAUUACCCCUCCUUUGGUACCUUGUUUGGUCUCCAAACUGCAUUUGAUUUUCAUUUCUUGAUGCUUCUUACGCCUCCACUGAGAGUAAUCCUCAUGCCUCAAGGCUAAUAAAGAUUUUGCUCCUCUUUUCCUCUUCAUUUUCUUGAUAUUUUACCCAAUUUAAUCUAUCUGCUGAUGCCUCCCAGUGUUGACUUCCUUUCCUAAGUCUUUUAUCUUGUAAGUGAUGCCUUUGGAAGAUCUCUCACUACUUAUCUCCCUUCAAAUACAACUUACGCACUAGACUGUAAGGACAGAGCCGUAACUGGACGUGUUUCUGGAUACAGUGACUGGAACAGGGAAUGGACAGGAAAUGGAUAUGAAAUAUGAAUAAAAUAAUCCUGAGUAGGUCAGAAGAUAUGAUGGAUGAAAAACACAGGUUUUUAUGUGGUAAGAGAAGAAGAAGAAGAAAAAAGAAGUUCUGAAAAUACAACGGAGAUGCAGUUUGAUAAACAGCCUUCCAUCAUCCAAGCCGGAGCCGUGGAAAAGCAUGCCAUCAUCCAAGCCGGAGUCGUGGAAAAGCAUGCUAUCAGCACUUUCAUCAAAGAUACUAUUGACUCCUCUCCAUCUCAUUUUAUCAUGACUUUCUCAUUUUAUUUACGCAGUAAAUGAUUGGAAAAAAUGAUUGCUACCUCUUG